CAGAAAAGGAGUUCACAACAGGGUUAAGACCAACGUAAAGUACUGUUUCAAAGACAGGAGAGAGAUAGUAUGCAACUCUUCUUUGCACAUGUCCUCAAACACUGGAUGCUCAGCAUUUUCUGAAAACUGGGUAUGUGUAUAGAGCAUCUUUAUAUUAGUACUAUUGCCCUUGGUCUUGCUCUUAGACAGAAGAGCAUUAUCUUGACAUGAGCUGGCAAUGUGCACUUGCAGCCGAGAAACCAACCAUAUCCUGGUCUGCAUCAAAGGAAGCGUGGCCAGCAGGCCAAGGGAGGUGAUUCUACCCCUCCACUCUGCUCUUGUGAGACCUCACCUGGAGUGCUGCGUUCAGCUCUGGGGCCCCCAGCAUAAGGAGGAUGUGGACCUGUUGGAGUGGGUCGAGAGGAGGGCCAGGAGGAAGAUCAAGGGGCUGGAGCACCUCUCCUAUGAAGACAAGAUGACAGAGAUGGGGUUGUUCAACCUGCAGAAGAGAAGGCUCUUUCCUUCCAAGGGGCAUCUUGUAGCAAGCCUUUCAAUACCUAAAGGGGGCCUACAAGUAAGCUGGGGAGGAACUAAGUGUACUGAUAGGACAAGGAGUAGUGGCUUUAAACUAAAAGAGUUUUAGAUUAGAUAUAAGGAAAAAUUCUUUACUCAGAGGGUGGUGUGGCACUGGAACAGGUUGCCCAGAAAAGCUGUGGAUGCCGCAUCCCUGAAAGUGUUGAAGACCAGGUUGGAUAGGGCUUUGAGCAACCUUGUCUAGUGGAAGGUGUCCUUGCCCAUGACAGAGGGUUUGGAACUAGAUGAUUCUUAAGGGUUCUUUCCAUCCCAAACCAAUCUAUGAUUCUAUGAUUAUAACUGAGCAAUCCGGGAAACAUACCUUGGCUGUGGUCCAGGACAAAGGAGUGGAGCAAUUAACUCUCUUUGCAUGAAAUGGAAAUGGAGAUAAAUAUGUGUUUCACUGAGUAUGAGCAUCAGAACUGAAGGACCUCUCUACCCACCCUUUGCUUAAAAAAGAAAUGUGCUAAGUACCUCCAUUUCUCUCAUAGAUUCUGGAGGAGGCUUAUGUUACUGUAGGUUAUUUCUGAAUAUUAGGGGAAUCAAUCAAUCUAGAGCAGCAGUGAAUUGGUAACUGACACAAGAUUCCUAACUCUGCAUGCUAACUCUUCUAUGUAUUUCUAAAGGAAAUGAAGCAUAAGGAGACUCAUUGCAGUUCAAACCAUUAGCACAUGUUCAAUGCUAGCGAAAAACAAGAGGGAAAAUUGUGUCUUGCUACUAAAAUGUGUUUUAUCUCAGUCCAGACAAAAAAAACUACUGAAUCAAUAGUAUUCAACAAAACUGUUCAAGUAACACAAGCCUGCACCCUUGUGCUUCAUCAAACCCUGUUGUGUCUUUCUGUACUGUACUGCAAGGAGCUUUCAGGCCAGGCCACUGAAGUCAAAAGUGGUUUCAAAUCUUCCCUGUGAUUUCUGUUUCCCAGCCUCCCACCUAGGCAGACUGAGCUGCAGCAGCUGCCCAGGAUUGCUUCCUCACUGGCAUUGCUGAUAUUUGCUGGUGUAAACCUGAGUUUCACAGCCCUGCAGAUGAUGCUUGCUUUCAUCUUCCCUAGGCUUGUUGUCCCAAGACUCUUAAUGUCGGGCUCAUAGUUCUCUUCUACAAAGGAGCUGGUUCCCAUCUUCCUUUCACUUUAUAGAGCUUUUAUUUAUUCAUUUUAAUUUUAUUUAUACCUUUUUUAGCCUUCUGACUUUGCUUCACAUAAUCUAUUUGUAA